rnacentral:rRNA from 1 species
GGGUUGUGAGGUUAAGCGACUAAGCGUACACGGUGGAUGCCCUGGCAGUCAGAGGCGAUGAAGGACGUGCUAAUCUGCGAUAAGCGUCGGUAAGGUGAUAUGAACCGUUAUAACCGGCGAUUUCCGAAUGGGGAAACCCAGUGUGAUUCGUCACACUAUCAUUAACUGAAUCCAUAGGUUAAUGAGGCGAACCGGGGGAACUGAAACAUCUAAGUACCCCGAGGAAAAGAAAUCAACCGAGAUUCCCCCAGUAGCGGCGAGCGAACGGGGAGGAGCCCAGAGCCUGAAUCAGUGUGUGUGUUAGUGGAAGCGUCUGGAAAGGCGCGCGAUACAGGGUGACAGCCCCGUACACAAAAAUGCACAUGCUGUGAGCUCGAUGAGUAGGGCGGGACACGUGGUAUCCUGUCUGAAUAUGGGGGGACCAUCCUCCAAGGCUAAAUACUCCUGACUGACCGAUAGUGAACCAGUACCGUGAGGGAAAGGCGAAAAGAACCCCGGCGAGGGGAGUGAAAAAGAACCUGAAACCGUGUACGUACAAGCAGUGGGAGCCUCUUUAUGGGGUGACUGCGUACCUUUUGUAUAAUGGGUCAGCGACUUAUAUUCUGUAGCAAGGUUAACCGAAUAGGGGAGCCGAAGGGAAACCGAGUCUUAACUGGGCGUUAAGUUGCAGGGUAUAGACCCGAAACCCGGUGAUCUAGCCAUGGGCAGGUUGAAGGUUGGGUAACACUAACUGGAGGACCGAACCGACUAAUGUUGAAAAAUUAGCGGAUGACUUGUGGCUGGGGGUGAAAGGCCAAUCAAACCGGGAGAUAGCUGGUUCUCCCCGAAAGCUAUUUAGGUAGCGCCUCGUGAAUUCAUCUCCGGGGGUAGAGCACUGUUUCGGCAAGGGGGUCAUCCCGACUUACCAACCCGAUGCAAACUGCGAAUACCGGAGAAUGUUAUCACGGGAGACACACGGCGGGUGCUAACGUCCGUCGUGAAGAGGGAAACAACCCAGACCGCCAGCUAAGGUCCCAAAGUCAUGGUUAAGUGGGAAACGAUGUGGGAAGGCCCAGACAGCCAGGAUGUUGGCUUAGAAGCAGCCAUCAUUUAAAGAAAGCGUAAUAGCUCACUGGUCGAGUCGGCCUGCGCGGAAGAUGUAACGGGGCUAAACCAUGCACCGAAGCUGCGGCAGCGACACUAUGUGUUGUUGGGUAGGGGAGCGUUCUGUAAGCCUGUGAAGGUGUACUGUGAGGUAUGCUGGAGGUAUCAGAAGUGCGAAUGCUGACAUAAGUAACGAUAAAGCGGGUGAAAAGCCCGCUCGCCGGAAGACCAAGGGUUCCUGUCCAACGUUAAUCGGGGCAGGGUGAGUCGACCCCUAAGGCGAGGCCGAAAGGCGUAGUCGAUGGGAAACAGGUUAAUAUUCCUGUACUUGGUGUUACUGCGAAGGGGGGACGGAGAAGGCUAUGUUGGCCGGGCGACGGUUGUCCCGGUUUAAGCGUGUAGGCUGGUUUUCCAGGCAAAUCCGGAAAAUCAAGGCUGAGGCGUGAUGACGAGGCACUACGGUGCUGAAGCAACAAAUGCCCUGCU